UGGUUGGCCAGGUCCCCGUGGUCCAGCUGGUUUACCAGGUCCACCUGGUUCUGGUGAAAGUGGACCUCCGGGUCCUGAGGGAGAUCCAGGAAAGCCUGGACCCCCUGGGCCCAAAUGUGAAUUUUCUUGGUCCCCUAAGAGCCCACCUACUACUACAAAGAAACCAGAGAACGUCACGGUGGCUUAG